rnacentral:rRNA from 1 species
GACGAACGCUGGCGGCGUGCCUAAUACAUGCAAGUAGAACGCUGAAGGAGGAUCUUGCUCUUCUGGAUGAGUUGCGAACGGGUGAGUAACGCGUAGGUAACCUGCCUGGUAGCGGGGGAUAACGAUUGGAAACGAUAGCUAAUACCGCAUAAGAGUAGAUGUUGCAUGACAUUUACUUAAAAGGUGCAAUUGCAUCACUACUAGAUGGUCCUGCGUUGUAUUAGCUAGUUGGUGGGGUAACGGCUUACCAAGGCGACGAUACAUAGCCGACCCGAGGAGGAGGACGGGCCACAUGGGAAUGGGACCACGCCCAAGACUCUUAGGGAAGCAGCCGUAGGGGAUCUUCGGCCAAGGGGGGAAGUCUGGACGCAGAAAGCCGGGUGGGUGAAGGAAGUUUUCGGGUCGGAAAGCUCUGUUGUAAGGGAAGAAAGAGUGUGAGAGUGGAAAGUUCACACUGUGACGGUAUCUUACCAGAAAGCGACGGCUAACUACGUG